ensembl:miRNA
CAUGUUGUGUGCAGUGCUCCACUUCAGGAAGUGCCAUCCAUGUGGCUAGAAAUAUGAUUGGCACCUCUUAGAGUGAAGUAAUGCACAACAGGUAC